CGGGUAUAGUUUAACGGCAGAACAAUAGCCUUCCAAGUUAUUAGUGUGGGUUCAAUUCUCAUUACCC
rnacentral:tRNA from 1 species